GACGGAGGAUGCAAGUGUUAUCCGGAAUCACUGGGCGUAAAGCGUCUGUAGGUGGUUUAAUAAGUCAACUGUUAAAUCUUGAGGCUCAACCUCAAAAAUCGCAGUCGAAACUAUUAGGCUAGAGUAUAGUAGGGGUAAAGGAAUUUCCAGUGGAGCGGUGAAAUGCGUAGAGAUUGGAAAGAACACCGAUGGCGAAGGCACUUUACUGGGCUAUUACUAACACUCAGAGACGAAAAGCUAGGGUAGCAAAU
rnacentral:rRNA from 1 species